AAAAAGGCAAACCCUGAAUUUCCGUGUCCAACUUUGAUUGUCCAUCUUAUAUGAAAUUUUUUUAUAAUUCGUAUUUUCAUUGUUGUUAGAUGAUAAAACAUGAUUAAUAUUUUAUACGUAACUUGUCUUUUUAAUUUUUUUCAUAAUUUUUUCAAAUAAGACGGACGGUGAAACGUUGGGCACGAAAACCAGGGUUUGUCUUUUU
rfam:Oryza nivara chromosome 1, whole genome shotgun sequence.